UCCUCGAAACCAAUCCCCCACAAAACCAGCGCCGCAUUAAUAACCGCUAAUGCUCCGCCCCGAAAACAAGCGCUCCAUCCCUCCCCGUUUGUGUGCCAUGCCCCGAAAACAAGCCGCUUCUCUGUAAAUAACAGCUGCCGCUUUGCUCGCGUUUCUAAUCUGCCGCGCCUCCACCUUCUCCUUUCUCCUCAACCCAACAUGCUGCUUCCUCCACAACCGAGUAUAUCUACGCGUGGUCAAGCUGCUGACAGCCUGCCAGAAGGACUAGCUAGUCUGCCCGGCGGCUGUUUGCGGUGGAUAUUAAAUUAGUCCGACCAUGGUUUCUUCAUCUGACCGUCUUUGCGCACAGGCCAACUGCUUCCUAGAACUCGUCCUGGCUUUGAUGCACAUGAAUCUAGUAGAUGUCGAUGUGGCGAUGGAGAUGCAGGCAAGAAAUCGUUGGUGGACAGCAAAUAACCCGGAUGCCGUCGACGAUCAUGUGCCAUGAGACGGCCCGGGUGUUCGUUUCUGAAGACUCAGAUGACAAGGACCAGACAAAGGUUUGCUGAAAGGUGGUGACCGUGAAGCCAUGGAGCGUGGUGGGAUGAUGCUCAAGGAGAAUGCGACCAACAUGAUGAGGCAUGAGGAUCUGCGCUGCGGUCGACGGUGUUGCGAUGAUUAGUCAGCUCACCCUCCUGCGCUUGCUGUUCCUGGUGAUUCUGGGCGAGCUAAUCACCUUUGGUUUGUUUUAUGUUGCUCCCGUGUGAGCCUGUUGAAGCCCAUGAGAUCGUGUGUGGGCCGUUUGAUAUUCUUAUGUUUAGUCGAGUUAGCUAGGUGUCGAUGGAUUUUCGCCCCAUAUCAGGUGUUUCAAUGACAAGCACUUGUGAUGGGGUUUCCAUCAAUGCUUUGAACUUGCUUUCCCCUUUCCGGUCUCCUUAAACUCUUGUUGGACUAACUGUUUCGUAUUUUCGUCAUUCAGGUAAUGAAAAAGGGUUAUGCCCGACGCUCUUGUCUACCUUGGGCACAUUCUUGGUCGGAGCAAGCGCAGGCUCUCAUGUAGGGGCCAAAGUGACAUGGUGCCCCACCGCACCAAGGACCGUCACCACAACGACACAACCACCCGUGCACCAUGGUGUUGCAGUCUUCUCCAAAUCGGAUGGCCACAACCUCAAGCCCGAGCUUCUCCACGGUGCUGCAUUGUGCUCGGUGAAAGGAUGAGGCAAAGGUUGGUCAACCCGGAAGCAUGACGUGGACGGGAGGAAAUGCGGGUAGUCCAUCGAGCUUCUACUCCUAAAAAGAGCGGGACGAGGAAAAAUAUAUGUUUACUAUGGCAUGUGGGACCAUCAAUAUUGACUAGUCAACUGAGUUGCAACAUCACAAAAAAUCACGUUGCCACCGUCCGAGGGGGGGUAAUUUAACCGGUGUUAAUAGUUUGAGGGUGUAGUUUAACCGAUUUCAUAGUUUAGGGUUAUAGAUGAAACUAGCCCUAGAGUUCAGGGUUGAAAAUAUGCACUUCUCUACGACAUAUUAACACUAGGAGUUGAGGGGAGAUUUUUUAUCUUAA